rnacentral:rRNA from 1 species
UACGAAGGGGGCUAGCGUUGUUCGGAAUUACUGGGCGUAAAGCGCACGUAGGCGGAUAUUUAAGUCAGGGGUGAAAUCCCGGGGCUCAACCCCGGAACUGCCUUUGAUACUGGGUAUCUAGAGUCCGGAAGAGGUGAGUGGAAUUCCGAGUGUAGAGGUGAAAUUCGUAGAUAUUGGGAAGAACACCGGUGGCGAAGGCGGCUAUCUGGACCGACAUUGACGCUGAGGCGCGAAAGCGUGGGGAGCAAACAGG